CUCCUUCGACUUUUGUUUCACAUUUGCCAGGAGGGGAUUAGCUUUCCUUGUUGCCUGUGCUCAGCACAGCAUGAAGAGAGGAAGCAUGGUCUAGCUGGGUACCAAGGAUGUUGCAAGAGAUCCGGGGCCACAGAGUAGGAGCUGGAGAAAACCCAGAGAAGCUGCUGACAACCAUGCCAGUCCCCUGCCCACUCUGCCUCUUGCCUAGGUCUGACAGAACUGGAGAAAUUAAAUUCUUUUUCAGCUUUGAUUUUCUUCAUCCCAACAACAGACACCAGUGUGGUAAGCACAAAGUCAGCAGGUCUGACUUACAAGAGGCUGAACACCCUGUUCUACAAAUGUCUGUGAAACCAA
rnacentral:lncRNA from 1 species